rnacentral:rRNA from 1 species
AUUGAACGCUGGCGGCAGGCUUAACACAUGCAAGUCGAGCGGGGAAAGGUAGCUUGCUACUGGACCUAGCGGCGGACGGGUGAGUAAUGCUUAGGAAUCUGCCUAUUAGUGGGGGACAACAUUCCGAAAGGAAUGCUAAUACCGCAUACGCCCUACGGGGGAAAGCAGGGGAUCUUCGGACCUUGCGCUAAUAGAUGAGCCUAAGUCGGAUUAGCUAGUUGGUGGGGUAAAGGCCUACCAAGGCGACGAGCUGUAGCGGGUCUGAGAGGAUGAUCCGCCACACUGGGACUGAGACACGGCCCAGACUCCUACGGGAGGCAGCAGUGGGGAAUAUUGGACAAUGGGCGCAAGCCUGAUCCAGCCAUGCCGCGUGCGUGAAGAAGGCCUUUUGGUUGUAAAGCACUUUAAGCGAGGAGGAGGCUCCUUUAGUUAAUACCUAAAGAGAGUGGACGUUACUCGCAGAAUAAGCACCGGCUAACUCUGUGCCAGCCGCCGCAGUAACAC